rnacentral:rRNA from 1 species
ACGAACGCUGGCGGCGUGCUUAACACAUGCAAGUCGAGCGGUAAGGCCCCUUCGGGGGUACACGAGCGGCGAACGGGUGAGUAACACGUGGGUGACCUGCCCUCAGCUCUGGGAUAAGCCUGGGAAACUGGGUCUAAUACCGGAUAUGACUCCAUGACGCAUGUCGUGGGGUGGAAAGCCUUGUGCGGCUGGGGAUGGGCCCGCGGCCUAUCAGCUUGUUGGUGGGGUGAUGGCCUACCAAGGCGACGACGGGUAGCCGGCCUGAGAGGGCGACCGGCCACACUGGGACUGAGACACGGCCCAGACUCCUACGGGAGGCAGCAGUGGGGAAUCUUGCGCAAUGGGCGAAAGCCUGACGCAGCGACGCCGCGUGAGGGAUGACGG